CAGCUAUUCUGACAGAUGUGUGAAUAGAAGGAUGCUUCAACAUCGCUGGGGCAAUAUCGAUCUCCAAAAUUCACGGCACACACAUUUUUCAGCCGGUUUGGAUACAUGAAAAAGGAAAUUUUAGCACUAAUAAUAGUGAAAACACUGUAGCCCUAAAAGUAGAACAAUUUCAUAGUAUCUUAAGAAUGAUGCAUGUUUUUCUGACACAUGGUUUAUGUAUUUUGAGGCUAAUCAUGAAAUCAGUAUCGUCACGGUAUCACAAACUUGAAAAUGAUUCAUCCGUCCGCUUCCUGAAUCCACUGAUCCAUAAGUAAACCUGUCUUCUUAUGUUGAAAAAUACAAGAUCGCGAGUGUUCUAAUAUCAUUUUUUGAUAUGAAGUAUCUGUAAGGAUUUAUUGCCGGGGCAAAAAUGGCGGCUGGCGUGUCUGCUCCGGUAUAACCACAAAGUGUCGAACGCCGGUUUUUAAUUUCAUCGCAUACACGACAUGUAAAAAGACAAAUUUAUAUUUACCAUUUUGUAAAGUUGUAUCCAGUAUCAAAAGACACGUAAAUUAAAGCACUAUUGACACUUUCACAAGGCCUGAGUUAACGUUAAACUGGAUCUCACAGUUCAGUCGGGGGUCGCACACACGAACAACGGGAAGGGAGGAUCCUGGCUUUCUGCAUAAAACUUGUACUCCUACGCUUGCGCGCGCGCACUGUUAUCAAUUUCCUAUUGGUUGAAACAAAUUUUAGAGUACGUAGUGUAGUAAUAAAUCAAAAGGCCCCAGGAUUCUAAAAUUCUCCAAUUAUUAUUCAAACUGAUAUAAAUUGACAAGAGUUGAUAAUUAUCAUAAAAAUAUUGUCUCAAAUUUUAAAAGUUUGGGACCGAUUGUCAUUAAUGCCGGUCAUGUCAGCCAAUCACUAGUCGGAGCGUGGGGAAAUUGCCUUAUAUGGUCAUUGGCAUGCAGCAAAUAAACUGAAAUAAACGAUAGGCGCGCAUGCGAUUGUGAUUAGAAACAAUGAAUUUAUUUGUGAAAAAAUAUAAAAUUAUUAAUCAUUUAAUGAUAGCAUAAACAAAGGAAUAUUAAUUUAUUUUUUUUUAGUUUUAAAAAAGUAAACAAAAGAUAAUUAUACAGAAAUAUACAGAUGACAUGAUUUAUAAUUGUUAUAAAAAUUUUUAUUGUUGACCGAAGUAAUUUAAAUUAGGUAUAUUCUAAUGAAUUUCAAAUUUUUAAAUAAAAAGUUUUUAAUUUCUUUUUUAACGACUUUUAGAUUUGAUUUCUUAUUGUAAAGAAUUUAAAAAAUCUUAAUUUAUUAUUGUACAAUAUAGAAUAAAUAUACAACAAUAAUUUCAAAAAUUGUUCUUAGAAUUGAUUUUAUUGAACAUGAUGGUUCAGUUAUAACUAUUUUUUACAAUGUAUGUUUUAACUAAUAGCAAACGCAUUUUUAAUUUUAUAAUACCUGUACCUAAUGGUACGGAAUAGAUUACAAUUAAUUGUAAAUACUUAUUAUCGGUUCUUAUUAAACAUACACUAUAAAUAAUAACAUGAUACUGGAAAAAUUCUAUUAAUUUCUGCUUAGCAAUUAUUUACAGCCUUUUCUUUUUCUUUUUUUUUUUUUUUAGAAGUUUCUCCAAGUUUGAAUAUUCGGUUUAUUUUAAUCUUUCAUUUUCCUUUUCUUCUAUAAGUAUCUACAAAGUUAAAAAAAAAUGCUUGUUUACAAACUAAGUAUGUUAAUAAUUUGAAAAGAAACUAUAAAAAAAAUAAAUUACUUCAAUCCUUUAAAUAAAAUUAUUUGCUUUUAACGAAGCGAUUUAAAUGUUCUAAACACUAUAAUGAUCUAAUCGAAAAUAUUUAACAUCGCUUCCUUGUAUUACACACUUAUUACAAUCACAAAUUUUUUAUGUGAAUAAAAUUUGUACUCAUAUUGAUAUUUAAUGAAAUAAUUGAAAUCAAGUAUAAGAAUAUUCAAUAUCCUUAACUUGAAAAAAUUAUUUAAGCACAUCAAAGUUAAUAAUUCUUUAAAAACUGAUAACAAUUCAGUGAGAAAAAAGUUUUCUACAUAAUCGGAUUAAUUUCUCACAAAUAAUUAUGAUUAUUAGAUUUGCUAAAAUCAGUUUAAAAAAUUAAAUUUUCUUUUUGUUUGUGUAGAUUACAUUUGAAAUGAGUAUGAUUGAGCUAUCAGUUUAUUCUAUUAUUUCUAUAAUACAUAAUUUUAUGUCGAGUGGCUGAUGCAACAAAAUGUAGUUGUUUUAAAAAAUUUAUCAUAUAAAAAAUAUUUAAAGCUUAUAAACUGAAUGUUAAUAUUUGAAAAUUUGACGCAUGUCAAAUAUAUGUCAAAAAUUUUCAUAGAACAAUAAAGUCGAAGGAUAUAAAAUUAUACGAUUCAAUCAAGCUAAUAAAAUAAAAACUAAAACUCAUCAGAAUUAAUUAUCUAUAAGAAUCUCAAAAAUAAUACUCUUUGAAAGGAUCGUUUUCAUUUCAAAAGCUUUCAUUCUUAUGUUUUUUUUUUAUUGUAUUCUGAAGUUAUUUAUUAUUCUCAAAUUACUACAUCAAAUUGCAUCUGAACCAAAUCGACAUUUUUUUUUUUUUUUUUU